GUCAUUGUAACUGUACAUUAAAUAGAUCUUGAUGAUUGCAUUAGAUGUGCCACCCUCAAACCUUGCUAUGAUGUCGGCGCAUUACCUGUCUGAUG
ensembl:snoRNA